rnacentral:rRNA from 1 species
AUUGAACGCUGGCGGCAGGCUUAACACAUGCAAGUCGAACGAGUGGCGGACGGGUGAGUAAUGCUUGGGAAUCUAGCUUAUGGAGGGGGAUAACUACGGGAAACGGUAGCUAAUACCGCCUACCAUAGGAUGAGCCCAAUUGGGAUUAGAUAGUUUGUGAGGUAAAGGCUCACCAAGGCGACGAUCCCUAGCUGGUCUGAGAGGAUUACCAGCCACACUGGAACUGAGACACGGCCCAGACUCCUACGGGAGGCAGCAGUGGGGAAUAUUGCGCAAUGGGGGCAACCUGACGCAGCAAUGCCGCGUGAAUGAAGAAGGCCUUCGGGUUGUAAAGUUCUUUCGGUGAGGAGGCGUUAACUACAGAAGAAGCACCGGCUAACUCCGUGCCAGCCGCCGCGGUAAUAC